AUUGAACGCUGGCGGCAGGCCUAACACAUGCAAGUCGAACGAGUGGCGGACGGGUGCGUAAUGUCUGGGAAACUGCCUGAUGGAGGGGGAUAACUACUGGAAACGGUAGCUAAUACCGCAUACCAUCGGAUGUGCCCAGAUGGGAUUAGCUAGUAGGUGGGGAAAAGGCUCACCUAGGCGACGAUCCCUAGCUGGUCUGAGAGCAUGACCAGCCACACUGGGACGGAGACACGGUCCAGAGGCCUACGUGAGGCAGCAGUGGGGAAUAGUGCACAAUGGGCGCAAGCCUGAUGCGGCAAUGCCGCGUGUAUGAAGAAGGCCUGCGGGUUGUAAAGUACUUUCAGCGGGGAGGCGUUACCCGCAGAAGAAGCACCGGCUAACUCCGUGCCAGCAGCCGCGGUAAUUC
rnacentral:rRNA from 1 species